rnacentral:rRNA from 1 species
UACGUAGGUGGCAAGCGUUGUCCGGAUUUACUGGGCGUAGAGAGCGCGCAGGCGGUCGUUCAAGUCGCGUGUGAAAGCCCCCGGCUCAACUGGGGAGGGUCACGCGAUACUGAUCGACUCGAAGGCAGGAGAGGGUAGUGGAAUUCCCGGUGUAGCAGUGAAAUGCGUAGAUAUGCGGAGGAACACCGAUGGCGAAGGCAAUCCCCUGGGCCUGCACUGACGCUCAUGCACGAAAGCGUGGGGAGCAAACAGG